CAGCCGCCGCGGUAAUACGUAGGGGGCGAGCGUUACCCGGAUUCACUGGGCGUAAAGGGGGUGUAGGCGGCUCGGUAAGUCGGGUGUGAAAUCCCACGGCUCAACCGUGGAAUUGCGCCCGAAACUGCCGAGCUUGGGGCCGGUAGAGGGAGACGGAACUGCCGGUGUAGGGGUGAAAUCCGUAGAUAUCGGCAGGAACGCCGGUGGGGAAGCCGGCCUCCUGGGCCGCGCCCGACGCUGAGGCCCGAAAGCUAGGGGAGCAAACCGGAUUAGAUACCCGGGUAGUCCUAGCCGUAAACGAUGCCCACUAGGUGUGGGGGAGUAUUUCCUCCGUGCUGUAGCUAACGCGUUAAGUGGGCCGCCUGGGGAGUACGCCCGCAAGGGUGAAACUUAAAGGAAUUGGCGGG
rnacentral:rRNA from 1 species